GAUCCUGGCUCAGGAUGAACGCUGGCGGCGUGCUUAACACAUGCAAGUCGAGCGAAGCGGUUUCAAUGAAGUUUUCGGAUGGAAUUGAAAUUGACUUAGCGGCGGACGGGUGAGUAACGCGUGGGUAACCUGCCUUACACUGGGGGAUAACAGUUAGAAAUGACUGCUAAUACCGCAUAAGCGCACAGGGCCGCAUGGUCUGGUGUGAAAAACUCCGGCGGUGUAAGAUGACCGCGU
rnacentral:rRNA from 1 species